GGGGCCGUAGCUCAGCUGGGAGAGCGGUACGUUCGCAACGUACAGGCCGUGGGUUCGAAUCCCAUCGGCUCCA
rnacentral:tRNA from 1 species